GACGAACGCUGGCGGCGUGCCUAAUACAUGCAAGUUGAGCGCUGAAGGUUGGUACUUGUACCAACUGGAUGAGCAGCGAACGGGUGAGUAACGCGUGGGGAAUCUGCCUUUGAGCGGGGGACAACAUUUGGAAACGAAUGCUAAUACCGCAUAAAAACUUUAAACACAAGUUUUAAGUUUGAAAGAUGCAAUUGCAUCACUCAAAGAUGAUCCCGCGUUGUAUUAGCUAGUUGGUGAGGUAAAGGCUCACCAAGGCGAUGAUACAUAGCCGACCUGAGAGGGUGAUCGGCCACAUUGGGUCUGAGACACGGCCCAAACUCCUACGGGAGGCAGCAGUAGGGAAUCUUCGGCAAUGGACGAAAGUCUGACCGAGCAACGCCGCGUGAGUGAAGAAGGUUUUCGGAUCGUAAAACUCUGUUGGUAGAGAAGAACGUUGGUGAGAGUGGAAAGCUCAUCAAGUGACGGUAACUACCCAGAAAGGGACGGCUAACUACGUG
rnacentral:rRNA from 1 species